CAAGCUUUGAUAACAAGGCAAAUGCUAGCCCUGGCAUCUAGAAUAUAGUAUAUGAGUGUAUUUUAAACUAUUCUGAUAUCACUGCUCUCUCACAGUGAAUAAAACACUUAUUUUUCCAGGAUUAUCAAUAACUUCCAGUGAUGUGAUCACACUCAUCUGAUACUUGUAAGGCCAACAGUCUGAUCACAGGUUGAGAUAAGAACUAAAAUGCCAGGGUGGAGGGACAGCCACAGGUAGUGUGAUUUCCAGACCAUGUGCAGAAAGGCCUAUUCCACCACACAAGCUGAACUUCUCAUAGUGGCUCUUCUGUGUAAAAGGUCUGGGGAAUCCUUCUGGUGAGAGGGCAGAGCAUUUCCAGAAAUCAGACCCUGUGUGCA